ACACCACGGUGCUGUUGAAAUGCUCAUGAAAUAGUAUUUAGCCUGGAUGAGAAUAUAUGGAUAUAUGCCUAAUACUUUGAAAUGCUAAAAGAAAAAAAAAAGCUAGAUUUAUAUAUAUCUAUGUAUUUCAAUUUUUUCUUGUAAAUUGUUACUUCUGUGAAGACCUUAGAAGAAGUGUGUGAUACAUUGUUUUUUAAGGCAGUAAUUGUGAAACGUUUAUUUCAAAGUCAUUUGAAAGAUCACUGAAUGGGAGUAAGUACUUGUCUCUUUCUAAUUUUCUUUCUUGUACAGCCCUUCUAAGAAAGGACUUCACUGAGCAGGGUUUUUAAUUGAAGGCUUUUAGGCCUUUAACCUAAUUCCAUUUUACUUCUUGAGGGUAUCUCUUAAAGGAGUCUACUAUUUGAAAACCUUAUGAAGUCCUUUAUUCUAAAUUCUAUGAGAGACCAUUUUUUCCUUUGCUUUUGUUUUUCUUAUAGAUUGUUAUGAAAUGAAGCUAUGAAUGUAAAACCAGAAGAUUUGCAGGGACAAUAUAUUUUAAUGCAUAAAACCUCAAGCAUGAAACCAAAUCCACAGAGCUUUUUCAGUCCAUUUCAGAAAUGACACCAAGACUUAUGCCAUAUCAUGGCAUACAACUCACUGCGCUUGGGUGCAGUAGUAGAAACUGAAAGGUAAGCAAUUAAUAUAUCUGCACUAAAUUAUUGGAGAAGAUAGCCCAGCAUCUAAAUUUCUUAAUACCUUGCUAGUGUUCUUGGUAUUACUUUCUUGGAGUGGCUGAUUUGUUGUUCUCCAACAGCUUAUAUUUAGACAUCAAACAGUAAAUAAUGUACCUAGAAAUAAUACUUUGCAGCCUUUGUCAACAU
rnacentral:lncRNA from 1 species